CAGCUUGAAGUGAUGACUGUAAAUAUCAUGUCUCUUUGACAUUUUUCUCUGGAGAUAAUUUUUGCCUUAAUGAUCUGAUAGGCCA